UACGGAGGGUGCAAGCGUUAUCCGGAUUCACUGGGUUUAAAGGGCGCGUAGGAGGGCAGGUAAGUCAGUGGUGAAAUCUUCGAGCUUAACUCGGAAACUGCCGUUGAUACUAUCUGUCUUGAAUACCGUGGAGAUGAGCGGAAUAUGUCAUGUAGCGGUGAAAUGCUUAGAUAUGACAUAGAACACCAAUUGCGAAGGCAGCUCACUACACGAAUAUUGACACUGAGGCACGAAAGCGUGGGGAUCAAACAGG
rnacentral:rRNA from 1 species